rnacentral:rRNA from 1 species
UACGAAGGGGGCUAGCGUUGCUCGGAAUUACUGGGCGUAAAGGGAGCGUAGGCGGUCUGUUUAGUCAGAGGCGAAAGCCCAGGGCUCAACCUUGGAAUUGCCUUUGAUACUGGCAGUCUUGAGUACGGAAGAGGUAUGUGGAACUCCGAGUGUAGAGGUGAAAUUCGUAGAUAUUCGGAAGAACACCAGUGGCGAAGGCGCCAUACUGGUCCGUUACUGACGCUGAGGCUCGAAAGCGUGGGGAGCAAACAGG